UACAGAGGGUGCAAGCGUUGUUCGGAAUUAUUGGGCGUAAAGGGAGUGUAGGCGGUUUGGUAAGUCUGCUGUGAAAUCUACGGGCUUAGCCUGUAACGUGCAGCGGAAACUGUCAGACUUGAGUGUCGGAGAGGAUAGGGGAAUACCCAGUGUAGAGGUGAAAUUCGUAGAGAUUGGGUGGAACACCAGUGGCGAAGGCGCCUAUCUGGCUGACAACUGACGCUGAGACUCGAAAGCAUGGGGAGCAAACAGG
rnacentral:rRNA from 1 species